rnacentral:lncRNA from 1 species
AAUGAUUAAACCCCUAGCUCUAAUCAGUAGGCUUAUUAAUAUAUGUUGGUAAAAUAUGUCAGAAUGGACUUGCUGGUCUGGUGGUUUAGUGGAGUGUUUGGUGUUGGAAGUCUUAAGUUCGAAUCCUAACUAUGGAAUAAGUAAUAUUUUUUGCUCUAAAUUUCAGCUAGAGUUGCGUUGAUAUGGGGAAUUAAGUGGUGGUAUGUUAGUAGGGUUAGUGGGAGGGAAGUUAGAGAGUUAUCAGAUUUUCUGAACAGUUCUAUUUUCAAAAAGUUUUGGCUUUCCUUUUUUCUCAAAAUUCUCUGCAGUUUCUUUACCCUAUUCC